CGCAACGAAUUUUCUCGCUCUUUGUCUGUGAGCACCACAAGUGUCUGUGGCCUGCACGAGUGUGUGUGUUGUGUGUGUACGUGUGUGAGAGUGGGGAAAAUUAUGCAAAUGCUGUUGUUGGUGUUGUUGUUUUUGUCUGCUGCGCUACUUAAAUCAAUUACGAGCGCAGAUUCAUCAUUAUUUAAAUUAUGUUUAAACAGUCACUCGCGCACUAACGGUACCACUCUGCCAGUCCGAUCCGCCGCGACAACUGUCUCUUGCGUUUUUCUUUCCAUAUGUAUCUCUUUAGUAACUUUUCUCACUAAAUCUAAAACACUCGGCUGGAGGGAGCCUCUCUCGGGUUUAUUGUUUCUGUUUUCUGGGUGAGAAAUAAACGAAAAGAAGUCGAGAUAUUACAACAAGCACGCACACAACACAAAAAUCAACACACGAUCAAUGGCUGGCUUAGGGCGCCACGGAGAAGCAGAGAGACGAGACUGCGGGGAAAACGUUAAGUUGAUAGCGCACGCGCACCUGUUGCUUAGCGAGUUUCAGCUUAAAUGAAUAGGUGGCUUCGCUUACCUUACCUUACAAGAGGAUUUGAGCCAAGACGUGCCACGGUAAGGCGAUGGCUUAAACGACCAGGGCUGGCAAAA